rnacentral:rRNA from 1 species
UACGAAGGGGACUAGCGUUGUUCGGAAUCACUGGGCGUAAAGCGCACGUAGGCGGAUGUGUCAGUCAGGGGUGAAAGCCCCGGGCUCAACCUGGGAACUGCAUUCGAUACUGGACGGCUAGAGUAUGAGAGAGGGAGGUAGAAUUCCACGUGUAAGCGGUGAAAUGCGUAGAUAUGUGGAGGAAUACCGGUGGCGAAGGCGGCCUCCUGGUUCAAUACUGACGCUGAGGUGCGAAAGCGUGGGGAGCAAACAGG